UGAGGUGCCCCUCCCCAGCAGAGACCCCGACGCAGCCAGCCCCUUCCUCCUUCCCCGCAGGUGCGCACUGCUCUGCGUGCGGCCGGUGGGCGUCCCGCCGCUGCGGUCGCGGUAGCCGCUGGUAAGCUGCGCUCUGGGGCUGGGGCAGGAAGCAGUGGGGGCGCUCGAAGAGCAGGGCAGCUUCGGCCACCGCGGCCGCCAGACCGGCCAUGUGCUAAAGUUUCUGGGGCUCGGCGCCCCACUGGGCGCGUAGCGCGGGGCGCAGAGGCGCGGUGGAUGGGGCAGCACGGUCCUCCUGGCGCCCGCCCGCCCCAGCCCCGCGGGGCGCAGCUCUGCGUGUUCUCAUGCUGACUCUUGCUCUCUCUUUCCCUCCGCGCUGCCUCCCCGAGAUCCUCCCUCCGAGCCCCGGCGCGGGGCAUGAGAGCCCCCGGGUGCCGCCCAGAGACCAGCCGGCUGCGCGCACACCUCGCCAGCGGCAGACGGGGACAUGAGCAGCGCGCACAGGGUCCCGCGCCCGGCGGCCAGCCCCAUCCGGCGGCGGCCCGCGGGUCAACGCUGCCCGGGAGAAUGAGGCAGGAGCCGGCGGCAGCCUCCUUUUUCCUCCUCUUCGCCUUCCUGCGGCUCCGGCGCUCCGGACCCGGGCCGAGCUUUGGCUCUGCUGCGUGCCCCGCGCGCCCCUCAACCGGCUCCGGAUGCGCUUCUCGGUUAGCCUGGUGAGGAAGAUAAAGACAUUUGCAACCAAGAUGGUAAUCACGAGUGGAAAUGAUGAAGACAGAGGAGGUCAAGAAAAAGAAAGUAAGGAGGAGAGUGUCUUGGCAAUGCUGGGGAUUAUUGGGACCAUUCUGAACCUGAUUGUGAUCAUAUUUGUCUACAUAUACACCACCCUGUGAAUGGCCCAGAGUGUCCUCAGAGGCCUCGGGAUGGCCAGAGACGGAAGUCCUGCGUGUCGGCGUAUCACUGACCAGACCCUGCGAGAACCAGCAGGCUUGACCCACCCACACCACCCAAUCAAAUGCACCUUCAGACUUUACAGAAGGUCACACAAAUAGACCGAUCCUGCUGCAGGGACCAGACACUAAAGCACAAUGAUUCCAACAAAACUCAUUCACAGCACUAGGAACUCAACGUCUUUGGCAGGGGGCCCAGAAGAAUGCUUGGACGACCAGCCUCUGACACCAUCGGUGAGCGGAUGGGUGCAGAAAUUCAUUAUUCCAGAUCGCUGACGGGUAUCACAUAUUUGAAAAGAUGAAUAGGGUGGACACGGCUCAGAUGUGUGUCUCCCAGGACAAGUGUUUCAUCUUCACUUGACGAGCUAUUUAGUGGAAAAACCACAGGGGCAGCCCUUUGACAGGCAUCCCAUUCAUCAAAAGUGUCUAACUAUUUGAUACCGGGGAGAUAACUUAUUUUUCUUUUUUCAUUGGCUUGAUGUGUGUAUCUGUUCAUAUCAAGGUUUAUAAAUAUAUAUUUUUAAUAAAUGUGCUCUAUUUUUUAGCAUGAACCAAAUACUUGGAAAGGCACUCCCAGAUCCAUAGAGCUUUCCUUGGUUUUAUCUGCUUUGUCCCUUCCUCCCCCAACUGCAGGUGUUCUCUUGUGGAGCCAUUCUAGUCCUCUUGUCUCGUCUCGAAUCUUUUACUUUUGCGCUCUUGUUCUCUCUCUCUCUCUCCUUCUCUGUCUCUCUGCCUCUUUGGUCUGAAGGACAUUUUCCCAUACUACCAGCCAUGGUUUUGGUUGGUGCAUGUUUCAAGAUUGUCUAUUGAGUGGCUUUUUGUUGUUCUCUCGGAGAUAUCAAACGAUUGUGGGCAUGCAGACCUUAGAUGCACCCUAUCUUUACUGAGAAUUAUGCAUGAAUAAGGGCUGAGUGAUAGAUCAGCUUAAAAUUAAAAGGACUACCGUUGAGGAAGAAGAGUGUGGCUGUAUUUGCAGAUGAACUUUUGAACAGAAUAUUCAGCUUCUUAUUGGCAGGGUUAUUGUUUCAUUCUUGUCACCAUUUGUUUAUCAGAUUUUGAUUUUAGUGGUCAUGUACCGUGACAGUUGGGAAGAACAAGGCGGAAAGGUCAGAACUAGGUGCAUUACUCCUUCCUUGGCAAGAUACCUGGGAUCCUCUUCAAAAGUGGGUGGGGUGUAAAUGACACAAGAACUCCCCCAUGAGAGCUCAUGGUGGUUCAGGCUGUGAGGACAGCCCUGUGACAAGUGACUUUUCAGGGGCAUAAGGAGGGGAUUUAAUGAUUGCCCUAAAGGACUGCUGCAUUUUUAAAGCCCCUGGUUUACACCCACGUGAAGCAACUUCCUCUCUGGCAGGGAUGGGUGCAUAAAAACAAAUUGGCUCCCUGAAAUGGGCCCUUGCCUGGCUGCAGUGACAUGGCCUAAAAGAGGGGGUUAGUAUUCCUUCUGCCAUUGCCAGCUGUAUUCAUCUGUUUUCACACUGCUGAUAAAGACAUCUCCAAGACUGGGCAAUUUACAAAAGAAAGAGGUUUAUUGGACUUGCAGUUCCACGUGGCUGAGGAGGCCUCACAAUCAUGGUGGAAGGUGAAAGGCACGUCUCACAUGGUGGCAGACAAGAAAAGUGAACAUGUGCAAGGAGACUCCCAUUUUUAAAGCAGAUCUCGUGAGACUUAUUCACUAUCAUGCAAACAGCAUGGGAAACCUGCCCCCGUGAUUUGGUUACCUCCCACUGGGUCCCUCCCACAACACGUGGGGAUUCAAGAUGAGAUUUGGGUGGUGUGACAGCCAGACUGUAUCACCAGCCUUGCCCCUAGGCAGAAGCAGCAGCAGUCUGCCUGGCUGGAUUCAAAUGAUUCUGAGGCUUCUGUAGUCUAUGCCUACAGAUCUCUCCCUCACCCAUGCUGUGGUGUCUGAAAUUCCAUCAUUAGAGAGUCAUUUCUUGGGCUCUAUUAAAGGGACCAGGCUCUUUUAUAAAGCAAAUGCUCCUGAGCAGCUGGCUCUGGCAUUGAUUUAUCAGAUAUCUUCUCUUCCCUGCCAGAAGGAAGGAAGCUAAGGUGCAUGUAGGGCGUACUGUGUGCCCAGGCACUGUGCCAGAAGCUUUGGAUACUUGGAGUCAUUUGAUUCUCAUAGUAACCCUGUGAGAGAGGGAGGUUUUCCUCCCCCACAUUGUAGAAGAAGGAAAAAUGGUUCAGAGAGAUCAAGAAAUGUCCCUGAGAUCACAUUGCUCCUAGUGGAGUCAGGAUCCAAACCCAAUGUGUCUGAUUCCUUAGCCCUUGGGGGUCUGGAGGCUGCUGAACAAGAGAGGAGGUGGAGAGGAGAGAAAGCCGCAGGAAUACCACCGAACACCCUUCUCCCUCCCCUGCAAAAACAACCCUGGGAACUCCUUGGACACUAGCAGAAUAUCAUACACUAAGGACAAGGGAUGAGAGGAGGCUGGUUAGAAAUAAAGCAAUGUCAGGGGAAAGGAGCUACUCAGUAGGCUCUAUGUGAUUCUAGAAAGACUGUAUGAAAAUUCUGAACAUUGAACAGAAUAAACAAUAAAGGUGCAAUGGAAAAAAAUACUCGAUGUCUUUUCUUUCAACAUUGUGGGAUAUAAAGCAUUUCAGUGUCAGUCCUUUGCCUAUACGUAGUGUUUAUUUAUUUAUUUAUUUUUUAAAAAACUGAACGUGAUGCUGUUAAACAGAGACUGUUUUGUGUGGACUGUAGAAGCCUCAGUGAUUUUUCAAGUAUAUGAAUUUGACAUGUAUUGAGGGGGAAAGUGCCUUUCCAAUCCUCUGCUCCCGGGAUGGUUCUUCCAGGUUGUCCUAAUCCACAGCCUGGAAAUAAAGCUGCCUGUUCAAUGUUGAACAGAGCAGUGACACUCUUUCCCACAGCUCCAGCAUGCCCUGUCUUAUUUCCUUUCUAAUUUAGUAGAGACCAUGAACACACACUGGGCAAACUCAUAGCUUCCCCCAAAUCUGAAGCCAUCGCGGAGGGACAUGGAAGGGAGAGGCAGGCAGUGCCCCUCCUAUCCUCAACAUCUGAGGUUGAGCCCCAAGCCCAGCCUUGGCCAGCAAUAGCAAUACCCAAAACAAUGCCAGGACCAUAUACUCUACCAAGCACUUUCUACUUAUCCUGUGGGACACAGAACAAUCCCAUGAGAUGUGUGUGUGUUUAUCCUCACUUUGCAAGACCAGGAAAAAAAGACAAUUGACUUUUCUGAAAUUGCACAGCCAGAAACCAGCAGAAUCAGGUCUUUGCCCCACGUCCACCCACCGUCAGCACCUUGCCUGGCCCAGGUGGUGUGAUGAACCAUCUGACUAGCCCAGUCACAAUAUACAGAUUCCCAUCAGCUCUGGCACUUCUUGAUCACAAUACAGUUGGCCCUGUAUUGAUCACAAUACAACUGGCCUUUAACCUCUCCUCUGGGAAGGCAACUUUGAAAGGCUGGGUGCCAGCAGCGGAGGGCCAGCUGGGCUGCUGGCAGUGUAGCCUGGUGGUUUGGAGCCGUAGAACACUUACCCUAUGGCCAGAAACCUCCUGGUCCUGAGUCCCAUCUCUUCGUCUUUCAAUCUAAG
rnacentral:lncRNA from 1 species